CACUCGGCGGCCGGGCCGCGGGGCGCCCCUCGGGUCCUCUGCCAGUCCCGGGCGCCAGGCUCGAGGGCCUGCAGGCGGCCGACGCGCCCUAGGCCGCUAUGACCCACUCACGGUGUGGUUCGCCCCACUCCCAGGCCCUUUGGGAACAAAUCCCACCUUCUGCUUCCUGUGCCCUCCCAGGCUCAGCCGAAAGGUUCAAGGACAGGGCCGCGAUCCGCUUCCAGGCACCAAAGAGUCCUCCUGUGAGCGUUUUCCAGAAACUUUCGUCUGUGAUGCAAGCCCACACUUUACAGAGGAAGACCCAGAGAGAUUCAGGAGCCGACCCUUGCCAAACAGUGGCACCUGAGUGGUACCAUGGUGAACACUGCGGAGUGUGGCCCUAAAUAAUAUCACAGUGACUGCAGUUCCAGGGGAAGAGAACUGGCAGCCCAACUUGUGGCCUUAUCAACAGGAAGAACCUGGGGUGCAGACAUGUCAGUCACUCACCAGUGUUGUAUUCCAAGAGGUGCAGCUAAUUCACACCCUGGCGGUCUGACUCCAGCCUCACUCCUGCACAUCCUGUUCAGCUGCCUCCUUCUUGUGGCAAAAUGCUGCUAGCUUCUACGCUCUUGUUACUGGGGCAGUGGAAGCAUCACAAGCAGAGAUGAGGCAUUUCCAGAGGACAGAACCCUUUCUCACAGACAGCCUGACGGAGAGAUGCUGCAGGGUCAGGGCAGAGAAGACGGAGGGCCUUCAGCUCUGCUGACUGCUACAAAGACCACAGUCGAGACCUCCUUCACUCCGGUGUAGCCUUCAACCAUUCCCUGGUUAGUUUUGCCCUUUGUGGCGCCCGGUCCACCCUUGCGCUGUGCUGGACCAGUGUUCUCACUCUAAUCUGUGUUUUACAGUUCACUUCUCCUUAGAGGAUUUAACCAUGAACCCCUUUGCAACCUCCCUCCUAGAUGGGUCUGUUGGUAACAUCUCUGCAGACGUGGCCUCAGCCACCAGUACACACAGCACUCUCACAUUCUGACAGCUGGAUCAGAGUCAGCAAAACCUGAAGAUACAAGAGAGAAAGGAAACACUUACUUGCCAUUUGACCAUAAUCAGGAACUACUGGAGGCGCAGAUAGAUGCCCCCAGGUUCUUUGCAGUAGCCACACUUUUGAAAUCAUUCUGAAGUUCAUUUUCUCCAUUCCUUUCUUUGAAGCGCACCUUCUCCUCAGUGUAAGUGGUUGGACAACAAUAGUGGCUGGACCCAUCUUUUGGUCUUGAGGAGCUGCCUUUAAUCAUUUACUUUAUGCUACCCAUGCUGAUCAAAGAACUCUUCCACAUUCCUGUUUUCUCAGCCCUGAGGAUGUGCUUUUGUGGAAGCCAGCCACCUACAGCAGGCAUUUCACGUUUUUCCUCUUUUAAAACAACAGUCUGUCGGCCCCAGACUGUCUUCCCACGUUGUCCUCCUGUGGGUCAGUGCACUAGACAGAAAUCAGCUUCUCACUGAAGUGUUUUCAUUUAGGGGAGAAGGCUCAAGCUUAUCCUUACUUCCCUGGUCUGGACAAUUUAAAGAAUUCCCCACCUACAUCUACCCCACAUUCUAGAAUAUUCUCGAGCACAAGGGCAUAAGCCAUGACUGUGCAUGACCGGUUGUGAGGCUGUGGCAAGUAAUCUGCAACCAACAAUGACAUGUCAGUGUUUGCGAUGGAUCCAAGGAUAUCCCCGUAAUCACACCCCUAUCACGCCUGGCAUCCCUGUAUUUUUUGAGAAGGCGAGAGAGGAGAACUGCAGGAGUCGUACACAUCACCGUCAUGACCUCCAGCCAAGGUCAUUUACGCCACAGCGCUGCCCAAACCACAGUGACUGACACUCUUAAUGGUUAUCUUGAUUAUAGCUUAUUGCAGUGAUUUAAACUGGAUAAACCCAUUUGUGACUAAUAAAGGUUCACAACCACUGGCCUGUCAUUUAAAAA